rnacentral:rRNA from 1 species
AGCGAACGCUGGCGGCAGGCCUAACACAUGCAAGUCGAGCGGCCGUAGCAAUACGGCAGCGGCAGACGGGAUAGUAACACGUGGGAACGCGCCCUUCGGUUCGGAAUAACUCAGGGAAACUUGAGCUAAUACCGGAUACGCCCUUACGGGGAAAGAUUUAUUGCCGAAGGAACGGCCCGGGUCGGAUUAGCUAGUUAGUGAGGUAAUGGCUCACCAAGGCGACGAUCCGUAGCUGGUCUGAGAGGAUGACCAGCAUCACUGGGACUGAGACACGGCCCAGACUCCUACGGGAGGCAGCAGUGGGGAAUAUUGGACAAUGGGCGCAAGCCUGAUCCAGCCAUGCCGCGUGGAUGAUGAAGGCCCUAGGGUUGUAAAGUCCUUUUAACGGGGAAGAUAAUGACGGUACCCGUAGAAUAAGCCCCGGCUAACUUCGUGCCAGCCGCCGCGGUAA